UAUCUUAGUUCAAAUGGACUGCAUUUGAAUAACCAUAGGUAGUGGGAGCUCUAGUGUUGUGUAGCAAAUCAGCUCUAGGUUCAGGGUUAGUCACUGAAUGUCUUACUAGUUGCAUAGUAAUACUUCUAACAUGUGUCUGCUCCAGAAACUGCCAUGUUGCAUACCUUACGGGAAAUGUGGAGUCUUUUGCAGAGGUCUACAGAUGGUGACAGAUGUAUGACAGCCAGUGACAGUUGCCUCUGAUGAGUUCACAGAUCCAACAUAUCAAGGAAGGGUAAAAAGCAGAAGAAGGAAGGUUAUCAACAUGAGGACUGGACAUCCUACAAUUUUCCAAAAUUGUGGCUUGAACAGCACAGCAUGGAAAGCAAGUGAAGUGACUGUGCUAUAGUCAUAUAUACGUGUAUUUUUAUUUGAUAGUCAAGUUCACCAUAUGAAGAUGAAUUAGGAAGAGCUGCAAACAACACAGAGGACACUGACAUACUAUGAGAUAAUGAGGAAAGCCUUGGAGCAGUAUGGUGACUUCCCUGACCUCAUGAGGUCCUUUCAGCCAUACUUCCCUUGGAUUUGAUGAAUACGUGGACAGUUGGUAUAGAGAAAGGGAAGAAAACAGCUUGAAGGAUUUAGUUUGUUUGUGUGAGAAGGAUGGAUCAGUGAGUUGGUGAAGUUGACAAGAAGUUCACUGAAAAAAAUAAUUGAAUCAGCUCCUUGAAAUGGAAUUUGGAAAUGUACUUUCUUAUAUGAAACUCCCACAGGAGAGAAGAGAAUCUAAGGGUAUAGAAGAAGAUUUAGAAGUUAGUUUCACUGUCAGGUCUAGAAAAUUGACUGUCUUCCAGAUGUCUUCAGUGACCAAGGACUAAAGAGAUGUCAGAUUCCUGCUAGCCAUGUAAGAGCUUAUGAAAUAGAGAUGAAUGUGGCUCUUGCACAAUGUUAGUUGAUCACCAUUCCAUCAAUUUCACUAUGAGCAGAAAAAAUGCAAAAUGCUUCAGAACACGUCAGACAAAAUAUUAACCUUUGUGUUUUAAGAUCCAUACUGCAAACUAACCCUAUAGUAGGCACAAUUACUUUAUCUUCAAAGUACUAAUUGACUUCCUGCUAUUUCCUUGUACAUAUUUUAUUAAUUUGAAGAUAUUUUCCCUCCCUCAACCACAAAAACUUUAUUGAAAAUGAAUGUUACAACUCAUUAAAUCUGCUAGACUUCUUUAGUGUAACAUCUAGAUAUUAGUAGCAUUUCUCUUUCUUCAAGAAUAAAGUAAAAAGAAAUCUAGUCAUUAUUAUUGACAAAGAUUAUAAAUAGCUUGGAACAGUCUUGUUUGAAUUGCAUCUAGCAUGAAUGGCAACUUCAAAAACAUGUACUACUGAAUAUCUUCAAGAGAAGCCAAUGGUUUCUUUGUUAGAAUAUCAAGUGAAUAGCUUAGAAGAUAGAAUUUACACAGCUUAUAAACAUAAUAAAGUUUUGUGCAUAUGCAAAAGCUGGAGUGAUUUUUGAGUAACUAG